rnacentral:rRNA from 1 species
GACGAACGCUGGCGGCGUGCCUAAUACAUGCAAGUUGAGCGCUGAAGGUUGGUACUUGUACCAACUGGAUGAGCAGCGAACGGGUGAGUAACGCGUGGGGAAUCUGCCUUUGAGCGGGGGACAACAUUUGGAAACGAAUGCUAAUACCGCAUAAAAACUUUAAACACAAGUUUUAAGUUUGAAAGAUGCAAUUGCAUCACUCAAAGAUGAUCCCGCGUUGUAUUAGCUAGUUGGUGAGGUAAAGGCUCACCAAGGCGAUGAUACAUAGCCGACCUGAGAGGGUGAUCGGCCAAAUUGGGACUGAGACACGGCCCAAACUCCUACGGGAGGCAGCAGUAGGGAAUCUUCGGCAAUGGACGAAAGUCUGGCCGAGCAACGCCGCGUGAGUGAAGAAGGUUUUCGGAUCGUAAAACUCUGUUGGCAGAGAAGAACGUUGGUGAGAGUGGAAAGCUCAUCAAGUGACGGUAACUACCCAGAAAGGGACGGCUAACUACGUG